AUUUCAAUUUGUCACGCAAUAGAGACAAAGUAGUCGAUAUUAAUCCAGCCGAACGAGAAAAUACGACAAGAGGGAGCAUUUUAGAGGGUUAGGAGAAUCGGAAGUAACAGAGAAAUGAAGAUCUAAAAGAUUGCUUCUUUCUUUCUCUCGCAGAACGGUGAUCUGUGUAUAUCGAUUCUGCAUCCACCUGUAGAUGAUCCACAGAGUGGCGAACUGCCCUGUGAGAGGUGGAAUCCGACGCAAAAUGUCAGGACUAUUCUGCUAUCAGUGAUUUCGUUGCUGAACGAACCCAACACGUAUAGUCCAGCCAAUGUUGACGCGUCCGUGAUGUAUAGACGCUGGCGCGACUCCAAA